CAGUAGGGAAUCUUCCACAAUGGGCGAAAGCCUGUUGGAGCAACGCCGCGUGUGUGAUGAAGGGUUUCGGCUCGUAAAACACUGUUGUAAGAGAAGAAUGACAUUGAGAGUAACUGUUCAAUGUGUGACGGUAUCUUACCAGAAAGGAACGGCUAAAUACGUGCCAA
rnacentral:rRNA from 1 species